rnacentral:lncRNA from 1 species
AAAUAUUUAUACAUAAUCUAAACUUAGAAAGGAUUGCUUAUUAACAACCUAAAUACUUAUUGUCCAAACAUUUUUCAGCGCACUUUCUGGCCUUUUUUGAAUGCGACCAAGGUCGUUUUAUGCAAUCAUCUAUGAUACAUCUUCUAUUUCACGAGACUCAGCGAAAACAAAACACAUGACUACUCCAAUAAUAAGCAACAUUAUUAUUACACUCUUCAUAGUCAUUUGUCUUUC